UCGCGAUGUGCACGAUAGACGAAGACACAGACGGCGGUCCGGUUGGAAAAGUCGCUAGAAAUGUCAGUUAGCAAGUGGAAAUCACCGGAAAAACUACGUAAAGCGGCAGAAACCAAAGCGAUUAGCGGCAAACAGCGCAGCAAACGCUAACGCACAACAGCAGAGCAGCGCGUAGGGCAGCAGGUCGGUCGGUGGCUGCAGUGUGUUAGAGAAGUAAAAGAAUGCGUAAAUGCGAAAUGCGAAACGCGAAAGCAUAAGCAGAAUCAGCAGCAGCGACGGCGGCGAAUGCUGAUAACAAAGCGUACGGCGUGUUAAUAACAAUAACAAAACGUCGCGCGUUUAAUUAACAGACAGCGGCCAGCAGGGGCAGCGCAGUCGACGCUGACGUCGCAUGUGGGAGUUUUAUAGUUGAGAGAGUGUGAGAGAGAGUGACGUAGUGGAAGGAGCUGCCAGUUGAACUGAUAAAAACUGCAUUUGAUUGCAAUUUUGGCGGCAUUUGCAAACCGAACGGCGGCGAACGCGCAACGAAAAAGAAAUCAAUAAAAAACAAAACAACCAAACGGUCCGCAAAAUGGAUUAAAAUAAAAACAAUAAUCGAAUAAAAACACAAUAUAAACUUUCAGCAAUCAUCAUAAAUCUUCUCUCGAUGUUUUACGCAUCAUUUAAUAAUUAAGAAGCAAUCGCAACCGUUCCGUUCCGUUUUGUGCUAAUGCAAAAAGUAUACGACAUACAAAUAUACAUAAAUCUUUCAACUUCACUAAAGUGCAAUAACUAUCAUAUAAACAACCCUAUCGAAUAAAUAUAAAUCUAUAAAAAUAUAUGCGAAUGCUUGCGCCACUAUCUAGCUGCAAUAUAUACAAAAAUUGACUCUGGGACUUUGGGGCAAGCCUUUAAGCUGGCAUUACAAGCGGACAGGCUGGACAGGCUGGUGGAAUAACGCAAUAUAUUUGAUAAGUCUCUAGACUCCUUUUUCCCAUAGAUGCCAAGAAACAAUCCUUCGUUAUAUUGAGUGUUGUGCAUAAACCACUUUUACUAAGAAAUGGAAAUUACCAAUUAAAUUUAUUGGCGCUUGACUUUUGUCUGGUUUAUUGAGUGAAGCUACCGAAUAACGGUAAGUAACCUUUUCUUAACCUUUUGCAAUACAGUCUAUGCAAAGCAGUUUCAGCUA